rnacentral:rRNA from 1 species
GACGAACGCUGGCGGCGUGCUUAACACAUGCAAGUCGAACGGAAAGGCCCUGCUUUUGUGGGGUGCUCGAGUGGCGAACGGGUGAGUAACACGUGAGUAACCUGCCCUUGACUUUGGGAUAACUUCAGGAAACUGGGGCUAAUACCGGAUAGGAGCUCCUGCUGCAUGGUGGGGGUUGGAAAGUUUCGGCGGUUGGGGAUGGACUCGCGGCUUAUCAGCUUGUUGGUGGGGUAGUGGCUUACCAAGGCUUUGACGGGUAGCCGGCCUGAGAGGGUGACCGGCGGGGGGGGAGCGCGCGCCUGACUGUGGCAGAGCGUGGGGCAGGGGGACUGAGGGGGGGGGUAGGGGGGCGGAGGGGAGGAGGGGAGUAAGCCGGUGGGAGAGAGGCGGAGGGGGGGAGGACGGCUGUCGGGUAGUAACCCGCUUGCGCGUGUGGGAAGGGGGGGGUGACGGUGAGGGAUAGAGAAUCACCGGCUAACAGCGUACCAGGAGCGGGGGUAAUAAUCGGAGGAGCUCUCGGCUGAUC